rnacentral:rRNA from 1 species
AGAGUUUGAUCCUGGCUCAGAAUGAACGCUGGCGGCAUGCCUAACACAUGCAAGUCGAACGAAGGCUUCGGCCUUAGUGGCGCACGGGUGCGUAACGCGUGGGAAUCUGCCCUUGGGUUCGGAAUAACUCAGAGAAAUUUGAGCUAAUACCGGAUGAUGUCGCAAGACCAAAGAUUUAUCGCCCAGGGAUGAGCCCGCGU